rnacentral:rRNA from 1 species
AAUCAACGCUGGCGGCGUGCCUAACACAUGCAAGUCGCACGAGAAAGGGUAGCAAUACCUGAGUAAAGUGGCGCACGGGUGAGUAACACGUGACUAAUCUACCCUCGAGUGGGGAAUAACUGAGAGAAAUCUUGGCUAAUACCGCAUAACACUUACGAGUCAAAGCAGCAAUGCGCUUGGGGAGGAGGUCGCGGCAGAUUAGCUAGUUGGCGGGGUAAUGGCCCACCAAGGCGAUGAUCUGUAUCCGGCCUGAGAGGGCGCACGGACACACUGGAACUGAAACACGGUCCAGACUCCUACGGGAGGCAGCAGUGGGGAAUUUUGCGCAAUGGGGGAACCCUGACGCAGCAACGCCGCGUGGAGGAUGAAAUCCCUUGGGAUGUAAACUCCUUUCGAUAGGGAAGAUAAUGACUGUACCGGGAGAAUAACGCCCCGGCUAACUUCGUGCCAGCAGCCGCGGUAAC